AGGACGAACGCUGGCGGCGUGCUUAACACAUGCAAGUCGAGCGGAAAGGCCCUUCGGGGUACUCGAGCGGCGAACGGGUGAGUAACACGUGAGCAACCUGCCCUUAGCUUCGGGAUAGCUCCGGGAAACCGGAAGUUAAUACCGAAUAUGAUUUUUUGCUGACAUCAGCAGAAGGUGGAAAGUUUUUCGGCUAGGGAUGGACUCGCGGCCUAUCAGCUAGUUGGUGAGGUAACGGCCCACCAAGGGCGACGACGGGUA
rnacentral:rRNA from 1 species